rnacentral:rRNA from 1 species
GAUGAACGCUAGCUACAGGCUUAACACAUGCAAGUCGCAGGGUAACAUGAGGAAAGCUUGCUUUCCCUGAUGACGACUGGCGCACGGGUGAGUAACGCGUAUCCAACCUUCCCAUAACUACGGGAUAACCCGUUGAAAGACGGCCUAAUACCGUAUGAUAUCGUUUGCUGACAUCAAAUAACGAUUAAAGGUUUAGCGGUUAUGGAUGGGGAUGCGUCUGAUUAGCUUGUUGGCGGGGUAACGGCCCACCAAGGCGACGAUCAGUAGGGGUUCUGAGAGGAAGGUCCCCCACAUUGGAACUGAGACACGGUCCAAACUCCUACGGGAGGCAGCAGUGAGGAAUAUUGGUCAAUGGGCGAGAGCCUGAACCAGCCAAGUAGCGUGCAGGACGACGGCCCUAUGGGUUGUAAACUGCUUUUAUGUGGGGAUAAAGUGCGUGACGUGUCAUGCAUUGCAGGUACCACAUGAAUAAGGACCGGCUAAUUCCGUG